rnacentral:lncRNA from 1 species
CUCCCAAAGUGCUGGGAUUACAGGGCAUGAGCCACCAUUCCUGGCCUAGCCCCUGGCAUUUUAAAACAAAACAGUGGGUUGUUGGGAAGUAGUAAACUUUAAUUAACUUGAAUUCAAGUACAUAUGCAUCAAAAUAAAGACUUCCAGCACAAGUGCAAUGGGAAUAACACAUUUGGGUUAAGUCUGGAUCUGGUGCUGUUGGGAUUGUGUGUGGCUUUGAUAUGACUUUGGAAUUCUUGUGACAGAAUUGGCUUUGAGUUAUCCUUGGGGCAUAGUCACUUAGUCAUGGUGACCAUUUGUUUCUCACCAUAUGAACAGUCUGAUCAUUUCCAUUAUCUCAUUUAGUUCACAAAAUAAUCCUGCUUGUAAUUAUUCGUAUAUUUCAGACAAGGACAGCGAGGUUUUGAGAGAUCAAUUUUAUCUGGUGAACACUAAUGUUUGAAUAUAAAAAUCUCAUUUUAAUAUGGUGGAAGACCAUGAAAUCUUAGCAUUCGAGGGACCUUAACUUUUAUUUACCCUUCUCUCCUUUCUAAUUCCCUUCUGCUCCAUUCUAGAGAGGUGACCAUUCAACACAUGCUUAGGAUGAAUCUGCUAGAUUCUUAGAGAGAGGCUUAAUAGCUCACAGAAUCAUUUAUAGUUUAAAAGAGUUCUAGAAACAGGGCACUCACAAACAUGAUGGUACAUAUCUACUUACCGAAGCUCUUCUGCCUUUUCCAUUUUGUGGCCAUCAACCAGAACCCUCAUGAGAAUUCUCACGUCCUAGUUCGGAGAGUUAGACACACAGAGACUGUGUGCAGUCCUUCAUUUUGCAGAAAAGAUGACUAUCUAAUUUUAAAUACAUUUCAAAGAGUUAGCCAUUGGAUUGAAAGGUCAAAUCUAAAAAAAAAUGAAAUAUGAAAUAGACCAUCUUAUCCUUUAGGCACAAAUCAAUACUUAAAGAGAACGAGGCACAUUAAAAUGAAGAAUAGGUUCAGUAUAAUUUGUAAUCAAACCGUCAAACCUUCCCGCUGAUGAUUGUGUAACUUUACAUUUUAAAAAUUGCUAAACUGAGAAAGAAAACAACUUCUGCCAAAUGCUGAAGUAUGUUUUGUGCCUGUUAAGUUUUAAAUAAAUCUUUUAAACUUUGGCAGGAAAUCAGAUAUCUGAGUAAUAAAAGAAAUUUAUUAUUAUUUUGAUGAUAUGCUUAGUAUCAUAUUGUUUAACUUUGAACCCUUUCUUUUAAAGUGAGUAAAAUGGCAAGCUGUGGAAAAGAGUUAAAAUUUUUACCUACUACUUCUCUUAAGGAUAAUAGUAAUUUCUUAAGAGACACUAAUUUAAUUUUCCUCCUAUACUGUGCAAAAAGAAAUGUCCUGGUCCUUUUAACUGAUAUGAUUUUUGGCUUUGCUUUAAAUUAUUGAUUACAUUUUAAAAGGGGAGGGACUUUCUGAUGAGAAUAGCACUCUCUUUAAUAGCCUUUCACAAAAUCAAUUUCCCCCAUUCCUGUCGUACUCCUUUGCCGUAUUGACGGUUAAGAACCUUGGAAAGAAUCUUUGUUUCCUAAAUUUAUCUUAAUAAUUUUUCAUUAUUUUACACCUGCAUGUUUAUUCAAGCAAUUUGAAAUAAAGAUCUUUUUGAAUGAUUUCUUCAGUGCUUUCACGAGGGCUGUGUAAGGGACUUUGCUAUUUAGGUGGCACUCAUGAGUGAUGGAUUAAUGCAGUAGAUUCCAGGACCAGAUGUCCCUGUUUCUAGAUCUCAGCUCUUGAAUGGAGUAAGUCAGAUCCUGCAUCAGUGUCUUUCAAACUGGAGGCAGUUCAGUAUGAACACAUUUUUCCUAGUGGCCUCGUUCCCAGCUCAUCCAGACAAGGAAGCAUUGAUACCAUUUGCACGUGGAACUUCAGCAAUGUAAUGUCCAGGCAAAUGAGUAUGUGUGCAUUAUGUGUACUCUCCCACACAAAAUCUGAUUCUACUUGGGCUAAUUCACUAAAUUCUUGUUUACACAUGAAGCUGUUUAUUUUGCUUUGAAUGGGAAGCUGUUUUGGAGUCAUGUGAAGAAGGAUAGAAAACUACUGAGAAAUGUAGCUCAAAAACCUGGAGGAUGCUGGUAGCAGAUGAGUUGGGAGUGGAUUGCAUGGUGACAACCAGAGAGCAGUAAAAUCUUGUUGAUAAGACAGUGUUUUUCUCUAGUGGUUUGUAUUCAGGCUUCCUCUUCAGUCUCACUAAAUGGCCUCACAGGUGGGUAGAUGCAUUUGUCUUGAAAGGUGACUGUUACCAAAUACAAAUCUUGUAGAUGCACAUUUAUCUUGAAAAGUGACUGUUACCAAAUAAAAAUUUAAGUUAUAUCUCAGCAUGGAGACCACGGCUCUGGUCAGGUAGGAGCCAAAUGUCCUUAGCCUGAAUGUGUGACUAGAAGAAUAUGUGACUUAGUCCAGUUUCAUAGCUGCCUGAUUUGGGGCAAGCUUGCUGACUUGGGUCUGGGCACCACAUCUUUGACAGUUGUCAAGUAUGCUGUGGGCUAAAUACCCAAGGUUAAGAAAACAAUCCAGGCAUAGGCUAUUUCUGGCCACCCUUUCUUCCAUCUUCUAUAUGAGCACCUUGUUGUAGGUACAAAAGAGAACAUUUCUAUUAUAUUUACACGAGAGUUGCUGAACCAUUUUUCCACUGCUUCUACCAUGAAGCCUCUGAUUGCCUGCCACAUCACUAUGUCACACCCUCCUGAGCCUUGGAGCUGGAGUUUGUGUUUUACAUUCUAUCUUAUAUGAAACUCCUGUGCACAUUUGUUUUAUCUCCAUUAGAACUAAGGCUCUUUGAGGUGACAGCAAUGUCUCCAGUGUCUUUCUGGUGAUCAUUUUUAUAUCUGUCACACACUGUAGUCAUUCCUAGCCUCGGACCUCUUGGGAAUCAGGUGAUAUUUCAGUCUGUAUGUACACCAUGUGUUUUAUAUGUGUGUGACUCUUUUUCAAAUAUUAAUAUAUAUAGACGCUCUUGAGACUAUUAAAACACAAGUUUCUUUAAAAGUUUAUUGAGACCAGGUGCAGUGGCUCACACCUGUAAACCCAGCACUUUGGGAGGCCGAAGUGGGAGGAUCACCUGAGGUCAGAAAUUCGAGACCAGCUUGGCCAACAUGGCGAAACUCUGUCUUUACUAAAAAUACAAAAAUUAGUUGGGUGUGGUAGUGGGUGCCGGUAAUCCCAGCUACUUGGGAGGCUGUAGCAUGAGAAUCGCUUGAACCUGGGAGUUGGAGAUUGCAGUGAGCUGAGAUUAUGCCAGUGCACAGCUGGGGAGACAAGAGCAAAACUCCGUCUUAAAAAAAAAAAAAACAACUAUAUUGAAUUCAUUACAGUAUGGUUCUUUUCUUAAUUAGUAUUUACUAAGAAUAAAAUAAAAGACACCUACAUGCUUCCAUGUUGAGAGCCACUGCCCUUCAGCAUCUAGCAAGGUGCUUUGCAUUUUGAGAUAUUUCCUCAUCUCAAGCCUUCUUUGGCUCUGUGUUUCUUCUGUGAGGUAUGUGAAGAAGAUGGACAGUGCAUUUCCUUUGUAUCAGUAAUAACCAUUUCAGUUCUUUAAUAAUUUGAAUGAAAAUCUAUUUUUUUUUGAGACAAAGUCUCUGUCACCAGGCUGGAGUGCAGUGGCUCAAUCAUAGCUCACUGUAGCCUCGACCUCCUGGGCUCAAGUGAUCCUCCCACCUCAGCCUCCCAAGUAUCUGAGACCACUGCCAUGAGCCAUCAUGCUCAGCUAAUUUUUUUUAUUUUUUAUAGGAUGGGGUCUCACUAUGUUGCCCAUGUUGCUCAGGCUGAUCUCAAACUCCUAGGCUCAAGCUAAUCCUCCUGCCUUGGCCUCCCAAAGUGCUGGAAUUACAGGCAUGAGCCACCUUGCCCCAUCUGAAUAAAUAGGAAAUUAAUGUUCACUUCCAGCCCUAGACUGGAAGCUCCUGAGCCCCAGUGCUGUGUCUGUUUAGGAUCUAUUGCUUAACAGAUUGAUGACCCUCACAUAGGAAGUUCAGUACACAUUAGUGGUCAGAGGCUCCAUGAUCACAGCUGUUAAGUGUUUUUAACUGCUGUUUAAUCUCUAGGCACUUUACUAAUUUUUAAAAGUUGGAAAUUCCUAUGGUAAUAUGAUUCCCAAAGAAAGGUCUCCAGUCCCUUAACUAAAAGAUUUAGAAUACCUUAGCUAACCUUAGAGUUAAAGCAAAAUGUCUGCCCCCUGGUGUCAGAUCAACAACUAGCAUCUUAGCUAAUUCUCAUAGUGAGUUCCAUUAAUUAUAUGAUUUAGUUUUUACAGUAAAUUAUACAUUGCACAUAAAAUUAAAAAUAAGCACCAUUUUAAACUUGCCACUCGCUGCUAUGAAACUGGGAUUUUUGGCUUAUAUUCAACAUUGUUGGUUUUUUUCAUGUCUAAAUAAUAAUUUGAAAUUAAAGUCUAAUUUUAGUAAAUUUUCUAUAUGCUAUUAACUCUGUAGCACUGAAUUUUAUAGAGGAGAGAAAUAAUGAAGGUUUUAUGUGAAACAAAAAUAGCCUUAAACAUUAUUAAUAUUUUAUGAGUUUGUAUAAAUCUUCAUACUGCAGAUAGUUUUCCUAAUAUUUUUGGCCA